UAUGAUUAAUUUUUGUUGUGUUAUUCCUCAUAUUCUGUUAAUGUUCUCUUGCAGGGAUGGUCAGGCUGGUGGUGCUCCAGGUAUCUUCUCAUUUCUAAUGUAGAGGAAGUGAAGAAACUUCGUUUUUCCUGUUGUAAGCAUGCCAAGGGUGAGAGAGUACUUCUUCACUAUUAUGAUGGCCAUGGUGUUCCAAAACCAACUGGUAAGCACAAGAAUGUCUGCAGUUCCAGUUGUUCCUGAUUCUGAAGGAAGUGACUCAAAUUCGUUCACUCUUGACGCAUUAGCCGUUUUCAUCUUUCGUGUGCUUCAACGAGAAAAUCACCCUGAAUGCAUCUUUCGCUCACUCAGCCCCUGCUUGGAUGCAACUGCAAAGGAGUUUGUAUCAAUUAUAUCUUGUUUAUUUUGACCCACUUCUCAUUAGAAGCUAACAUCUGUACGCUUGACCCAGCCAGAGUCUAACUUAUGUCAGGACAUGUUUGUUACACCAAAACAGCCAUUUUAUAAUCAAUAAUUGUUCUUGAUCGAUUGUAAUUCAGGAGCAGAAAUCUGCCGGAAUUAGUGCCGGCGGUAACUUUUUUAAA